rnacentral:rRNA from 1 species
UCAUCCGGUCGAUCCUGCCGGAAUCCGACGCUCUCCCCAAGGACACAAGCCAUGCAUGCCCGCGCACCCGGGAAGGCGGCGGACGGCUCAGGACAACGGUUGCACCCCCCGCGGCGGUCCCUGCUAGCCGGACACCGCUGGCAACCCGGCGCCAAAACGUGCGCGCAAGGGCGGGCGCCCGCGGGCGAGCAGCGUGACGCACCGACGGCCCGCCCGGGCUUCCGGGGCAUCACCCGGUCGGCGCGGUCGCGGCGCGCCGAGGGCCCGACGCCUGGCGGAGAAUCAGGGUUCGACUA